AUAUUUGAAUACUAAGCGAAACAACCUAUAACGCUGUUAAUGCAUAUUAAAGAAAUAUUGUUUUUUUAAGGCGAAUAUGGAUUUCUAUCUUGUUAUUUACUUUAUAUAUUACCGAUAAAGAUAUGGACGUUUAGGAUGUGAAAAAAUAUACACUAUAUCGGCGCAAAUUUGUGGUAUCUCAUAAGGGUUUCACUGAGGAAGAAAGACAACUUCAACAGAAUAUUCGCAAAUUACAAAACCAACUCGAAGCUAAAGAACAGGAACAUCGUCAAAGGGAAUGGAAACUUGUGGACAAACUGAAGGAAAAUGAUGUCACAAUACAUACGCUAAAUCAAUCAAUCGCAAACUUAAAGAGCAAGAUGGACUAACAGAACCAGGAAUAUUCCAGAUUAACUGUAGCAAAGGAUGUUGAACUGGAAACGUUGCAUCAACAGGAUGCCAAUAUGAGAUCUGAACUCGCGCAGAGAAAAAAUAAUUUUGAGAGGAGGCAGAAAGAGUUGUCUUUAUCUUUGGAAAGAGAGUCGUCGUUGGAACGUUCUAGGGCUCAGCUAGAGUUAGAUUGGCAGCGCAGAUAUGAAUAGGAAGAAAGAACUGGGUACAUAUGAUAAACAAGGAGAACUAGUUAAGAAUUUAACACAAGGCAAAGAAGAGGCGUUAUCGUUGGUGUAACAACAGAAACGUGAACUGCUUCACAAGGAUAGUGUUAUCCAUACUUUGAAGACACAAAGAGAUGAAUCAGUUUCUAUCCUCAAGCUUCAUGGACUAACCGUGCCUUCCCAAAUAUCAGAUUUUAUCAGUCAUGCAUGUUUCACCAGUCGAAGAUGUUGGCACACCAGCAGCGAAUAUGAAUAAUAAAGAACUUCCAGUUCAGAACGAAAAUUUGCGUCUGUUAUUCAUCAAAUGAGAGAGGACAUGGAGGAUUUGACGAAACAGUUGACGCAACGUACCACUGGAUCGAUUACUAAUGCAAGAGAUGGCGUACCCAUUACGGAAGAAUAUGUGACAAGUCUGAAAAAAGAAAUUUGAGAAGUGAAGGCGAGAAACCGCGAACUGACCCAAUCCAUGGCUAAUACAAAUGCUAAA